CAGUAGCCACGGGAAUACGAAGGGUGCAAGCGUUACUCGGAAUUACUGGGCGUAAAGCGUGCGUAGGUGGUGGUUUAAGUCCGUUGUGAAAGCCCUGGGCUCAACCUGGGAAUUGCAGUGGAUACUGGAUCACUAGAGUGUGGUAGAGGAUAGUGGAAUUUCCGGUGUAGCAGUGAAAUGCGUAGAGAUCGGAAGGAACAUCUGUGGCGAAGGCGACUAUCUGGGCCAACACUGACACUGAGGCACGAAAGCGUGGGGAGCAAACAGGAUUAGAGACCCCUGUAGUCCCUGUCUCUUAUAC
rnacentral:rRNA from 1 species